ensembl:piRNA 21ur-6654 ncRNA
UGAAGAAAAAUGCACUGGAAA